AUUGAACGCUGGCGCCAUGCCUUACACAUGCAAGUCGAACGGCAGCACGGAGAGCUUGCUCUCUGAUGGCGAGUGGCGAACGGGUGAGUAAUGCAUCGGAACGUACCGUGUAAUGGGGGAUAACGUAGCGAAAGUUACGCUAAUACCGCAUACGACCUGAGGGUGAAAGCAGGGGAUCGCAAGACCUUGCGUUAUACGAGCGGCCGAUGUCAGAUUAGCUAGUUGGUGAGGUAAAGGCUCACCAAGGCGACGAUCUGUAGCGGGUCUGAGAGGAUGAUCAGCCACACUGGGACUGAGACACGGCCCAGACUCCUACGGGAGGCAGCAGUGGGGAAUUUUGGACAAUGGGGGCAACCCUGAUCCAGCCAUGCCGCGUGAGUGAAGAAGGCCUUCGGGUUGUAAAGCUCUUUCGGCCGGGAAGAAAUCGCACAGGCUAAUACUCUGUGUGGAUGACGGUACCGGCAUAAGAAGCACCGGCUAACUACGUGCCAGCAGCCGCGGUAA
rnacentral:rRNA from 1 species